CUGCUUUGGCAGAAUAUAUACUAAAGUUGGAAUGACACAGAGAAUAUUAACAAGGCUCCUGCACAAGGAUGGCACACAAAUUUGGGAGGCAUUCCAUAUUUUU